rnacentral:lncRNA from 1 species
AUCACGCUUACAUAUUGGAUACUUAUAUGUUUCUUUACCUAACUUUUUUUGGUCUUACAAAAGUACUUCUAUAUUCGGGAAGCAUUUGCCUAGUGUAAGGGUUAGUAUUAAUAUUAUUUUAUCUACAUUAAUUUGUGAGUUACUCUGUUUGUGAAUUAUAAAUAUUACCAAAGAUUAUGGUGGGAUUUAUAAGAUUACUUUAUCUUUUUUGAGUGGAAUAAAAAAAUCUUGCUAGUUAGUGUUUUUCCUUUUUUAAUGAUGUGAUUUCACAUUAGCUUAAACCUACUAGGAGUAAGAAGGAAGGUAAUUUUAUCUUCUUUAAAGUUACUUAGUAAUUAAUAUUUUUACCAUGGAUUCUGAUAUUGAAGAUGUUAUUCAAAACAUUCCGAGGCUAAUAAGCUUAGACAGUUAAUGAAUUCACUAUUCAGGUCAAAUCAAUAGUGAAAAGGAAUACCGUUGUAAAGGGUAAAAAGAGUAGUAGUAGGCAAAGAGGGUCCAGCUGCCAUCAUGAGACUAUUCCGGCAUAUGGGAAAGAAAACAAAAAAAAGAAGAAGACCCAUUUCUCAUUUUGACUCCUGUCUUCAAUGAAUGAUUUUAGAUUGGUUGUACAAACGGCCAAAACAGAAAUUACGAGUAAAAACUUGUAGCAGCAAUUUCAUAGUCACCAGCUACAUCUGGGAAUCAGAUGCAACCUCAACUUGAUUGGUUAACUGAAUCUUGAUAGUUUUUUAUUUUACUUCCCACCUUGGCUCCUUACCAGCUCAGCUCAGAGUUUCAGUCCUUAAUUCUCUCAAAAUCUGAAAGAUAAGGAAAGGAUGAUGUCUCCACGUGAUGUCCAUAACCUUUUGGCCUUGCUGGUUACUUGCUAUUCGAGGUAUGGUCUCUCUGUUCCACCCCUAUACUUUCCCCUCCAAGUGGGUUUUCUCAUCAAUAAAAUAUUGUUUGGGAUAUCUCUCUGUUUCUUUUUUUUUAAGACCCACUUUGAUUUUAAACUAUAUUUUAAAGAGAGACGAAUCUUUUUUUUUCUUUUUCUUUUUUUGUGUGUGGUUAAAUCUUUAUAUUCUUAUUUUCUUGACAUAAGAAGCCUUCUAGUGAGUACUACUAUCCACUCACGAAUUAUUAUUAUAUAUUAUCCGUACUUUCGUGGUCUUAAUUGGGGGUAUUUUUUAGAUUUCAACUGAUUAUAAUUAUUGUAGACCUGGAGGACAAAUCAAGAAUAAGGGUUAUGNNNN